rnacentral:rRNA from 1 species
AACGAACGCUGGCGGCGUGGAUUAGGCAUGCAAGUCGAACGAGAAUCUGGAGGUUCAAAGUUUUCGGACAAGAACUUUCGGAGGAAAGUGGCGGAAGGGUGAGUACAACAUGGAUAAUCUACCUUCAAGUUGGGUAUAGCUUCCCGAAAGGGGAGAUAAUCCCGAAUGUGGUGAUCCGGCGCCUGUCGGAGAAUCCAAAGGUGGGGACCGCAAGGCCUAGCCGCUUGAAGAUGAGUCCGUGCACUAUCAGCUAGUUGGUGAGGUAAUGGCUCACCAAGGCGAUGACGGUUAGCUGGUCUGAGAGGAUGGUCAGCCACACUGGGACUGAGAUACUGCCCAGACUCCUACGGGAGGCUGCAGUCGAGAAUCAUUCGCAAUGGGCGCAAGCCUGACGGUGCGACGUCGCGUGGAGGAUGAAGGUCUUCGGAUUGUAAACUCCUAGUCAUGUGGAUAAAUGGACCAGGGCAUGAAUAGUGCCUUGGAA